UACCAGCACCCCGAGUGGUCGGGACGAUUAUUGGGCCUAAAGCAUCCGUAGCCGGUUCUACAAGUCUUCCGUUAAAUCCACCUGCUUAACAGAUGGGCUGCGGAGGAUACUAUAGAGCUAGGAGGCGGGAGAGGCAAGCGGUACUCGAUGGGUAGGGGUAAAAUCCGUUGAUCCAUUGAAGGCCACCAGUGGCGAAGGCGGCUUGCCAGAACGCGCUCGACGGUGGGGGAUGAAAGCUGGGGGAGCAAACCGG
rnacentral:rRNA from 1 species